UACGGAGGAUGCAAGCGUUAUCCGGAAUGAUUGGGCGUAAAGCGUCCGCAGGUGGCUAUGUAAGUCUGCUGUUAAAGAGUGAGGCUCAACCUCAUAAGAGCAGUGGAAACUACAUGGCUAGAGUGCGUUCGGGGCAGAGGGAAUUCCAGGUGUAGCGGUGGAAUGCGUAGAGAUCUGGAAGAACACCGGUGGCGAAGGCGGUGGUCUGGGCCAUUACUGACGCUGAGGAGCGAAAGCCAGGGGAGCGAACGGG
rnacentral:rRNA from 1 species